GAAGAAAAAAAAAAAAAAAAAGGAAAAAAAAAAAAAGAAAAAGAAAAAACUUUCAGAAAUUCCCCCAGGCUGAGCGUGCGUACAGCUUGGUCUUGCAAAAUCUAUCGCUGCGCUUGCCACGCAAUCCUGCUCCUCGAUGGAAGGGAUUUUGGAGAAGGUUCUCAAGGCAGAAGUUGUGUUGACGGCGGGCACCUCGGCGCUGGUCGUACACUGCCAUCCUCCACCCUAUGCACGCCUUCCCCCGAGCAGCAGUGGGAAUCAGCACAGAGCGGCUUCACCCAACUACCAGGAGGCUGUAAAGAACAUUUCAUAAUUAUUUCUUGGUGCUACUUAAUGGAAAGAAUUGCCUGGUGGUGCACAGCAUUAUCGCCCCCUCCAACAGGCGCUCCAGCCUUCAAUAUUAAUCUCAGUAUUCUCUGCAUCUUCCAAGUCUCAGUCCACAGGAGAGUUUCCCUCCGCAGCAAGUGGCUUACUGAUGGGGACGGAUUAAGACAAAUACAAGCAACGCUGCAUGGCUGAGCAAGCCCCAGGUACUAACACAGAUCUCCCUUGAUGGAAUAUAUCACAAGAGCAAAGCUCUUUUGAGUUCAGUAAAGCUCUACCAGAUGGAGACCCUCAGGAGGCCAGCAUGGCUUGAGAGGUGCAUUUUUACAAGAUGGAGCCACGUUUUUCCAGGUCAUCUCUACCAAAGACAAGCACAACAGUCACAUUAGCAAAUUGCCACACGAACCAGAAGAAUGAGACAACAAGCCUGUUGUCUCCAGCCACUGCCCAGGUUCUGGUACCUGAGCAAAGGGCCAGGACCUUGCCUGUCCACAGCAUGCCCAGCCCGUGUCUGCUUUGCUAGAAAGCUGCAAGGAGCCUGAUUCAGAAACCACUUGCUCAUGAACCCAUAACGACCCAAUAAUCGCUCAAAAGAGGAUCUCCAGAGGACCAUCCCCUACCCUCUACAUGGCAGGACAAGAUGGAGGACAAGGAGCACCGCAGCGAGGCAGCACACACUUGUGAGAUCUCUCUGCCAGCUGGGAGAAAGAAAAGAAUACGGCAAGACUGCCGCUGCACAUAAACACAGGAAAAAAUAGGUCUUAGGAGGAGGCAGAAUACAAACUGAUCUAAUGGUACAUUAGCCUUAAACCAGAGAAAGCCAUGUAGUACAAAAUGCCUUCGAACAAGGGUGUUAUAUAUAUAUUCCUCAGGUCAUGUUAUUUCUUUUAAAUAUUAAUCAGAAAAAUUGGAAAGCUUUAUUAUAAAGAUGACAAAUACUACUGUGCCUCAAGGAAAGGUUGUGCACAGGAUGUGCAAACUCUUACUUAUUUGAUUCAACAUGGUGACUGUGGGCUGCACUUUUAAUGAGGGAAAUAAAACAUUCUCUUAAUUGGCUAUAAAAGGAUGU
rnacentral:lncRNA from 1 species